rnacentral:rRNA from 1 species
UUACCGCGAAGAACCUUACCAAGGCUUGACAUACACCGGAAAACCCUGGAGACAGGGUCCCCCUUGUGGUCGGUGUACAGGUGGUGCAUGGCUGUCGUCAGCUCGUGUCGUGAGAUGUUGGGUUAAGUCCCGCAACGAGCGCAACCCUUGUCCCGUGUUGCCAGCAGGCCCUUGUGGUGCUGGGGACUCACGGGAGACCGCCGGGGUCAACUCGGAGGAAGGUGGGGACGACGUCAAGUCAUCAUGCCCCUUAUGUCUUGGGCUGCACACGUGCUACAAUGGCCGGUACAAUGAGCUGCGAUACCGCGAGGUGGAGCGAAUCUCAAAAAUCCGGUUAUCAUUCGGAUUGGGGUCUGCAACUCGACCCCAUGAAGUCGGAGUCGCUAGUAAUCGCAGAUCAGCAUGAGUAUUCGAAAGAAAAAU